CAUCCACCUGCCUUAGCCUCCCAAAGUGCUGGGAUUACACGUGUGAGCCACCACGCCCAGCCUUAAUGACUUGCUUUCUAACAAACAGAAUAUGGUAGAUGUGGUGGUGUGUGACUUCUAAGACUAGGUCAUAAAAGGCAUUGUGGUUUCCUGCUUCUCUUCCUCUUGGAUCACUCACUCUGGGGGAGGUCAACUGCCCUUUGGUGGAGACACUCAAGCAGCAUCAUGAAGAGGUCCACAUGGUGAGAAAAUGAAGACUCCUGCCAACAGCCAUGUGACUGAGCCAACUUGCAAACAUCCUCCAGUCCCAGUUCAAACUUCAGGUGACUGUUGUUCUCACUGGCAUCUUUUCUACAACUUCAUGAGAGACCAAAAGGAGAACUAUCCAACCUGUCUCCAAUUCCUGACCCAUUAAAAACUAUGGGAUCUAUGGAAUCUCAGUUAGACACAGGGAGCGGAACAACACACCCUGGGACCUGUCAGGGAGGAGAGCAUCAGGAAAAAGAGCUAAUGCGUGCAAACCACCAUGGCACACGUUUACCGAUGGAACAAACCUGCACAUCCUGCAUAUGUAUCCCAUAACAUAAAAUAAAAUAAGAUAAUUGUUUCUCUGA